UAUGGUAGUCCUGGGCUAAGCAUGUAGGGAGGACCGUAGGCAAAUCCGCGGUCCGUUAAUCCUGAGAUGUGAUGCCGAGCCGAUUGUGGCGAAGUGGGUGAUCCUAUGCUGCCGAGAAAAGCCUCUAGUGAGUGUCGUGGCGGCCCGUACCCCAAACCGACUCAGGUGGUCAGGUAGAGAAUACCAAGACGAUCGGGUGAACUGUGGUUAAGGAACUCGGCAAAUUGCCCCCGUAACUUCGGGAGAAGGGGGGCCUCCGCUGGUGAUCAGACUUGCUUUGUGAGCUGGUGGGGGUCGCAGAGGCCAGGGGAAGCGACUGUUUACUAAAAACACAGGUCCGUGCGAAGUCGUAAGACGAUGUAUACGGACUGACGCCUGCCCGGUGCUGGAACGUUAAGGGGACCGGUUAGCGCGCCUUCGGGUGUGCGAGGCUGAGAACUUAAGCGCCAGUAAACGGCGGUGGUAACUAUAACCAUCCUAAGGUAGCGAAAUUCCUUGUCGGGUAAGUUCCGACCUGCACGAAUGGCGUAACGACUUCCCCGCUGUCUCAACCGCAGACCCGGCGAAAUUGCACUACGAGUAAAGAUGCUCGUUACGCGCAGCAGGACGGAAAGACCCCGGGACCUUCACUACAGCUUGACAUUGGCGUUUGGAACGUCUUGUGUAGGAUAGGUGGGAGACUUUGAAGCUGUCACGCUAGUGGCGGUGGAGUCAUUGGUGAAAUACCGCUCUGGUCGUUUUGAACGUCUAACUUCGGUCCGUGAUCCGGAUCAGGGACAGUGUCUGGUGGGCAGUUUAACUGGGGCGGUUGCCUCCUAAAGAGUAACGGAGGCGCCCAAAGGUUCCCUCAGCCUGGUUGGUAAUCAGGUGUCGAGUGUAAGUGCACAAGGGAGCUUGACUGUGAGACCGACGGGUCGAGCAGGAGCGAAAGCUGGGACUAGUGAUCCGGCGGUGGCAUGUGGAAGCGCCGUCGCUCAACGGCUAAAAGGUACCCCGGGGAUAACAGGCUGAUCUUCCCCAAGAGUCCAUAUCGACGGGAUGGUUUGGCACCUCGAUGUCGGCUCGUCGCAUCCUGGGGCUGGAGUAGGUCCCAAGGGUUGGGCUGUUCGCCCAUUAAAGCGGUACGCGAGCUGGGUUUAGAACGUCGCGAGACAGUUCGGUCCCUAUCCGCUGCGCGCGCAGGAGACUUGAAAGGAGCUGUCCCUAGUACGAGAGGACCGGGACGGACGAACCUCUGGUGUGCCAGUUGUUCCGCCAGGAGCAUGGCUGGUUGGCUACGUUCGGAAGGGAUAACCGCUGAAAGCAUCUAAGCGGGAAGCUCGCCUUGAGAUGAGGUCUCCCACCACGAGAGUGGGUAAGGCCCCCGGGAGACGACCGGGUUGAUAGGCCGGAGGUGGAAGCAUGGUAACGUGUGGAGCUGACCGGUACUAAUAGGCCGAGGACUUGACCAA
rnacentral:rRNA from 1 species